rnacentral:rRNA from 1 species
AGAGGGGGGGAUCUUAGGACCUCCCGCUACAGGGGCGGCCGAUGGCAGAUUAGCUAGUUGGUGGGGUAAAGGCCUACCAAGGCGACGAUCUGUAGCUGGUCUGAGAGGACGACCAGCCACACUGGGACUGAGACACGGCCCAGACUCCUACGGGAGGCAGCAGUGGGGAAUUUUGGACAAUGGGGGAAACCCUGAUCCAGCAAUGCCGCGUGUGUGAAGAAGGCCUUCGGGUUGUAAAGCACUUUUGUCCGGAAAGAAAUCCUCUUCGCUAAUACCGAGGGGGGAUGACGGUACCGGAAGAAUAAGCACCGGCUAACUACGUGCCAGCAGCCGCGGUAAUACGUAGGGUGCAAGCGUUAAUCGGAAUUACUGGGCGUAAAGCGUGCGCAGGCGGUUCGCUAAGACAGAUGUGAAAUCCCCGGGCUUAACCUGGGAACUGCAUUUGUGACUGGCGGG